rnacentral:misc_RNA from 1 species
GAUGAAGAACGUAGCGAAAUGCGAUAGGUAGUGUGAAUUGCAGAAUUCAGUGAAUCAUCGAAUCUUUGAACGCACAUUGCGCCCCUUGGUAUUCCAUGGGGCAUGCCUGUUCGAGCGUCAUUUGUACCUUCAAGCUUUGCUUGGUGUUGGGUGUUUGUCCCGAGGGACUCGCCUUAAAGUAAUUGGCAGCCAGUGUUUGGUUUUGAAGCGCAGCACAAGUCGCGAUUCAAGGCUACACGCCCGCUUCCACAAGCCUUUUUUCACUUUUGACCUCGGAUCAGGUAGGGAUACCCGCUGAACUUAAGCAUAUCAAUAAGCGGAGGA